UCAGGAUUCCCGGCACCGAUGCCCUUCACAUGGGGCAUCGUGUCAAGCGGUUUCAAAUGCAUUUAACCCCACAUGGCGUAUGGUCGUGGAAACAGCCCUUUGGGGUUUGUCGUAAGUGUCCUGUACAGUACGGCCUUUGCAGCGUCGCCUGCAUAUCAUUAAUCCACGCACAACUCAGAAGUCUUACUGCGGUUGAGUUCAUGAGGUCGGCACAACAAUUCGCUGCAGCGUCCAGCUUGACGUUUCGUCUCGCCUCGUGUGCAGUGGCCAGCUGGCCACCGUAUGUGUGAUGCGGGGCAAGCCAUCGCUAAGUUAAUGUUGGGCAUCAUACAAGGGAGUACGGUUCUGUGGAGGAAGGUACGUGCACAGUCGUUCACCUAGGUUAAACGGCACCUCAACCACCUCCUGCAUAUCACCACUUUACCAACCAGGAAAGGACAUAUGACAAUCCUGACUUGCCAUCAAACAUUAAAAGUUUUGCCUCGUAUACCGGAUGUUACAAAAAGUAGACACUUGGCGACAGGCUUCCUGUGCGCAGGCUGGAGUCCGCAGCCCGGCUCGUGAUGAAACGCAGCGCGCAUCGCAAGGGGCAGAGCCAACACGACCAAUUUCCCUCAGCGGCUGUGUGGCAACGACAUGAACAGCCAUACAAGAUCCUCAGCAUUCGCCAUAGCGUGACGCGCAACCCCUUCCCUUUCUCAUAUACUUAGGACUGCCUAGUUGCCACCCACUCCCUCUUACCAUCAUCCCUCCUACCCCCUUCAGCCGGCAACGGCGAGGACCCCGCCGUCCUUGCGGGCCCCACGUAAGUUAUUCAAGCGCUUUUAGAACCUGUUUCUGUCAGCCGGCAUCAAAUUCCACCACUAACGAAAACGACAAAACAAGGAGAGAAGAUCCUCUGAUCGCAGGCCAUGUCGUACACACUCCAUAUCAUCGACCAUCCUGUCCACGUGCAUUGUGCGCAGGUUGUGCAAGAGGAUGGAGCAAGUCAGGGCGGCGGCGACCCACAUGCUGGCAUGCUAACUGCAGCCCUAAACUGGUGCAGUCGCGCUCUCCGUAGAUUGUGGUAGGCAGCAGGCACGAGGCAGCUUGUGUUGUCAGUCGGGAAGGCCAUUCGCCAACUCGUGAUGAGAAAGGGGAUGGGGGAGCAUAACAAGCGGAAAGGAACCCGCACUAAACCAGUCAGUCAGUAAGUCAGUCAGUUCGGGUUGGUUUUCCGAGCCUUUUCCGGGUUCCAAUCUGGUCAAACCCUCCCCCAAGAACAAAAACACAGGACGCAAUCUUUUCUCCACAUCUUCGGCACAUAGAUAGCAGCACGUGCUUGGUAAGUCCACUGCGCGAUUCGAACGUCAACACAACACCGUACGUAUUCCAUUGGCCGUGUCGUUGCAUCUCCUGCUGCUAUUGCUGUUGCUGCUAUUUCGGCACCAACUUCUGUGUAGCAGGGCAGACAGCUCCGUAAUCUUGUCUGCGUAUGAAAACCUCCACGUCAGGUGUGCCUUUAGGGUACUUGCCUGAUGCCCUAUGUCGGCACGCCCACCCAUGGCGGAACUCCUGGUUCCCAGCCACAACCCCAAAACACACACGCGCACAUAUGCAUGCAUCAAUACAUACACGAGCCUUUUUGAAACCGAACCGAUGACAGGACAUAACAGCCGUUGCUGCCAGUCUUUGAGAGCCGUCGCUUUCGCCGUUACCGCCAUCGCAGCAGCAGCAGCACAGCAACAACAACAACAACAGCUAAUACAACCGUCUUUCCGUUGGCCUCAUCCUAUGGUGCCAUGACAAGAAAACCCAAACUGAAUGCCGUUCUUCUGGUCCCCCUGGUGCGGUACACCUUUCCCCCUUUCCUUUCCUUUCAUCUUCCUUUCUCCUGUGACCGCCAGCUGGCUUUAUCGCUCACUCUUCUUGACCGCUGCUCCUGACACUGUACCCGCAUCUCACUGCUGGACCCAUCGCUGUCGUGGCGUUCCGCCGUUGGCACCCUCCUGCAGCAGCCGCAGCAGCCGCUGCCUACGACAUGGCGUUGCCGCAGGCAGGCCGAAGAACCGUCAGCGCCAGCCACGGCACCGCCGCAGCCAAGGCCAGCACCUCCAUAGGACGACAUCCUUACCAUCCUACCCCUCUUGUGCGGUCGCUUUCGGUCCGGUCGAGAAGUGCCUGGCUGUAUUGCUGUGUCUCUUGCUGAACGCACUCACUCACUCACUCAUGCCACUGCAUACACCACCAGCCGCUUGUCGUCUGCCACUGAGGCCAGGUGUGAACCGGUGCCGCUGAAUGCCACGCCCCAGACCUGCGAAAUGUAUGCGAGCGGGCCAGCAGGCGGCAGCCCCGCGCCAAAGAAAGAUAAUUUCCGGUAGGAGAUGCGAAUAGAUAUCGUGAAUAAAUGGAAAGUGCUGAAACAACACCCUUAAGCUAUACCUAGUUACGUAUUACACGGCCAGUGUUUGCGUAUGUAUGUGGUUUUGACUCCCUACCAAGCUAGCUAGCCUGCCUAUAGGGGACACGCGGGCGUCCAGAAGAGGGAAGGCGCCACCGUCCCUGGAGCCACUUUGCAUCGCCUCUUCGGGCGAUCGGCGAUUAGAGGAGUCUCGCCAGCUGCGCAAGCACAUCCCCCACACCACACCACACCGCACUACGUAUACCAAUCAUACAUAAACGCCAAAGCGAUCGCCAACACGUACGACAGGCACGCUGCGACAUGUGCGGCAAGACGGUGACGCACGCGUAUAACCCGCGUACCCCACAUCACUGCCCGUCCUGCCGUGCAGUGCGGGAACACUCCCUCCCCCCCCACCCGACACACACUUCUCCAUCGGACCCCUUUCCCAGGCGUGUGCCGCCGCACCUGAUCCGUAUGGUCUGCAGAGAGCGUCUGUACGCACGUCCGCGUGUUGAUGUCCCACAGCUUGACGCAUGCGUCACUGCCGCCGCUGGCGAAGGUGGAGCCGCCCGGGUGCAUGGCUACGGACAGUACCCAUGACUCGUGACCUAAGGCCGCCAUUCACGACCAUGUCAGCGGCGACAACGUGAGGAUAACUUGAGGAAGAGGUUCUUCCUCGCUAAUUUAAUAGAGCAUGCUAUGAGAGUAUGCUAUGUCCCUCUCUUAGUAUGUCAUGUUUCCCUUUAGAUAGAAACAAGAGAUGCAACUAAUUAUGUUCUUUACUUGCUGCUGCCUGUGCGCCGCCGUACUGUCUUGAUCCCGGCGUGACCUGAAACGUGUUGGACUGUCUUGCAGUCCCUCACCUUUAAGACGAGCAAUAUUAAUACACAACACAAGGACAGCCAAAACAGGUAACGUGGCGAUGCCGAGUAACGUGAAGCGAGUAGAAUGGGGGACGCGCGCGGGGCCGUGUCGGGGGGUCCAACCGACCAGGCCCUCGUUCACAGCCCCCCCCCUUCGCGCCCUCCGCGGCUACACACCAUUUCAUCAUUUCCUACACGCCAUCAGCGCCUAUACAUGCGCUGCUGCAGCAACCCUGACAACAACCUCUCCCAAUGGACCCCGCCCUCCGCAGCCCUUGCGACCAGCCGCUGCUGACCUGAGAAGGACUCUACGAGGUUGCAGCUCUCCACGUCGUACAGAUG
rnacentral:lncRNA from 1 species